GAUCCUGGCUCAGAACGAACGCUGGCGGCGCGCUUAACACAUGCAAGUCGAACGGGGCGGCAUCCUUCGGGGUGGCGUUCAGUGGCGCACGGGUGAGUAACGCGUGGGAACCUGCCUCAUGGUCCGGGACAACCGCGGGAAACUGCGGCUAAUACCGGAUGAUCCCCCCUCGGGGGGCAAAGACCCGUCGCGAGACGGGGACGCCAUGGGAUGGGCCCGCGUCCGAUUAGCUGGUUGGUGGGGUAACGGCCUACCAAGGCUGCGAUCGG
rnacentral:rRNA from 1 species